rnacentral:rRNA from 1 species
AUUGAACGCUGGCGGCAGGCCUAACACAUGCAAGUCGAACGAGUGGCGGACGGGUGAGUAAUGUCUGGGAAACUGCCCGAUGGCGGGGGAUAACUACUGGAAACGGUAGCUAAUACCGCAUACCCUCGGAUGUGCCCAGAUGGGAUUAGCUAGUAGGUGGGGUAACGGCUCAACUAGGCGACGAUCCCUAGCUGGUCUGAGAGGAUGACCGGCCAACCUGGAACUUGUACACGGUCCAGACUCCUCCGUGAGGCAGCGGUGGGGAAUAUUGCACAAUGGGCGAAAGCCUGAUGCAGCCAUGCCGCGUGUAUGAAGAAGGCCUUCGGGUUGUAAAGUACUUUCAGCGAGGAGGCGUUACUCGCAGAAGAAGCACUGGCUAACUCCGUGCCAGCAGCCGCGGUAAUAC